rnacentral:rRNA from 1 species
UACGUAGGGGGCAAGCGUUGUCCGGAAUCAUUGGGCGUAAAGAGCGUGUAGGCGGCUCGGUAAGUCCGUUCUGAAAGCCCGGGGCUCAACCCCGGGAGGCGGGCGGAUACUGCUGGGCUAGAGUCCGGAAGAGGCGAGUGGAAUUCCCGGUGUAGCGGUGAAAUGCGCAGAUAUCGGGAGGAACACCAAUGGCGAAGGCAGCUCGCUGGGACGGUACUGACGCUGAGACGCGAAAGCGUGGGGAGCAAACAG